AAAUAAGAAACGAUUAAACGUAUUUAAUUUCGACCUAAAACUUAGUAAUAAAUUUACUCUUAUUUA
rnacentral:tRNA from 1 species